AUGAGUCAAAGAGGCAACUGGUGUGAAAAAGCUUGGGCUGCAUCCAUCUCUUCUCUCUUCUCUACAUCUCUUCUCUGCAUCUCUUCUCUGCAUCUCUUCUCUACAUCUCUUCUCUACAUCUCUUCUCUACAUCUCUUCUCUACAUCUCUUCUCUGCAUCUCUUCUCUGCAUCUCUUCGCUACAUCUCUUCUCUGCAUCUCUUCUCUACAUCUCUUCUCUACAUCUCUUCUCUACAUCUCUGCAUCUCUUCUCUGCAUCUCUUUUCUACAUCUCUUCUCUACAUCUCUGCAUCUCUUCUCUACAUCUUUUCUUUGCAUCUCUUCUCUGCAUCUCUUUUCUACAUCUCUUCUCUACAUCUCUGCAUCUCUUCUCUACAUCUCUUCUCUACAUCUCUGCAUCUCUUCUCUACAUCUCUUCUCUACAUCUCUUCUCUACAUCUCUUCUCUGCAUCUCUUCUCUGCAUCUCUUCGCUACAUCUCUUCUCUGCAUCUCUUCUCUACAUCUCUUCUCUACAUCUCUUCUCUACAUCUCUGCAUCUCUUCUCUGCAUCUCUUUUCUACAUCUCUUCUCUACAUCUCUGAAUCUCUUCUCUACAUCUUUUCUUUGCAUCUCUUCUCUGCAUCUCUUUUCUACAUCUCUUCUCUACAUCUCUGCAUCUCUUCUCUACAUCUCUUCUCUACAUCUUUUCUUUGCAUCUCUUCUCUACAUCUCUUCUCUACAUCUCUUCUCUACAUCUUUUCUUUGCAUCUCUUCUCUACAUCUCUUCUCUGCAUCUCUUCUCUACAUCUCUUCUCUGCAUCUCUUCUCUACAUCUCUUUCUACAUCUCUUCUCUGCAUCCUGUCUCUGCAUCUCUUCUCUACAUCUCUUCUCUGCAUCUCUUUUCUGCAUCUCUUCUCUGCAUCUCUUCUCUGCAUCCCAUCUCUGCAUCUCUUCUCUACAUUUCUUCUCUGCAUCCCGCCUCUGCAUCUCUUCUCUGCAUCCUGUCUCUGCAUCUCUUCUCUGCAUCCCGUCUCUGCAUCUCUUUUCUGCAUUUCUUCUCUGCAUCCCAUCUCUGCAUCCCUUCUCUACAUUUCAUCUCUGCAUCCCGUCUCUGCAUCUCUUCUCUGCAUCUCUUCUCUACAUCUCUUCUCUGCAUCUCUUCUCUGCAUCUCUUCUCUGCAUCCUGUCUCUGCAUCUCUUCUCUACAUCUCUUCUCUGCAUCUCUUCUCUACCUCCUCAUCUCCUUCUCUUCCUCUUGUCCUCUACCUCCUCAUCUACAUCUCUUCUCUGCAUCUAUUCUCUGCAUCUCUUCUCUACAUCUCUUCUCUACACCUCUUCUCUGCAUCUCUUCUCUACAUCUCUUCUCUACAUCUCUUCUCUGCAUCUCUUCUCUACACCUCUUCUCUGUAUCUCUUCUCUACACCUCUUCUCUGCAUCUCUUCUCUGCAUGUCUUCUCUGCAUCUCUUCUCUAAAUCUCUUCUCUGCAUCUCUUCUCUGCAUCUCUUCUCUACAUCUCUGCAUCUCUUCUCUACAUCUCUUCUCUACACCUCUUCUCUGCAUCUCUUCUCUACAUGUCUUCUCUACAUCUCUUCUCUGCAUCAUUUUUUAG
ensembl:lncRNA